UACGUAGGGAGCAAGCGUUGUCCGGAAUCAUUGGGCGUAAAGCGCGCGUAGGUGGCCUCAUAAGUCCGCUGUGAAAGUCAAAGGCUCAACCUUUGAAAGCCGGUGGAUACUGUGGGGCUAGAGUACGGAAGAGGCGAGUGGAAUUCCUGGUGUAGCGGUGGAAUGCGCAGAUAUCAGGAGGAACACCGGUGGCGAAGGCGGGUCUCUGGGCAGUAACUGACGCUGAGGAGCAAAAGCGUGGGGAGCGAACAGG
rnacentral:rRNA from 1 species